AUGCAUGCCUAAGUUCAAAUGCCGUAAAAGUGAAACCGCGAAAGGCUCAUUACAACAGCCACAAUUUACUGAAUGUUGAUAUCCUACGUGGAUAACUGUAGCAACUCUAGAGCUAAUACAUGCACCAAAGCUCCGAUUAAUGACGAGCGCRCCUAUUAGACUAAAACCAAUCGAAUAUUUUGUGUACUGCACAAAAUACUCGUUGCAUUUUGGUAACUCAAGAUAGCUACAGCUGAUCGCACGGUCAUGUACCGGCGACAUUUUUAUCAAAUGUCUGCCUUAYCAACUUGAUGGUAGUCUAUAUGUCUACCAUGGUUGUUACGAGUAACGGAGAAUUAGGGUUCGUCUCCGGAGAGGGAGCCUGAGAAACGGCUACCACAUCCAAGGAAGGCAGCAGGCGCGCAAAUUACCCACUCUCAGCAUGAGGAGGUAGUGACGAAAAAUAACAAGACCGGUCUCUAUGAGGCCGGUUAUUGUAAUGGGUACAAUUUAAACCCGUUAACGAGGAUCUAUGAGAGRGCAAGUCUGGUGCCAGCAGCCGCGGUAAUUCCAGCUCUUAUAGUGUAUAUCGUUACUGCUGCGGUUAAAAAGCUCGUAGUUGGAUCUGCAUUCAAGCUCUUGGUCCACCAAUUUUGGUGUUGAACCAAGUUUAUUUUUGGCUUGAACAAUAAUUAAUGCUGGUUUUUUUUUUGCUAUAGGUUACCUUUAUUGGUCGCCUAUAGUGGCUGGCAGGUUUACUUUGAAAAAAGUAAAGUGAUUAAAGCAGGCUAUUUAUGCCUGAAUAAUGGUGCAUGGAAUAAUGAAAUAGGAUCUCGAUUCUAUUUUGUUGGUUUUCUGAAUUGAGAUAAUGAUUAAGAGGGACAAACGGGGGCAUUCGUAUCGCUGCGCGAGAGGUGAAAUUCUGGGACCGUAGCGAGACGCCCAACUGCGAAAGCAUUUGCCAAGAAUGUUUUCAUUAAUCAAGAACGAAAGUCAGAGGUUCGAAGGUGAUCAGAUACCGCCCUAGUUCUGACCGUAAACGAUACCAACUAGCGUUCCGCCUUUGGCGUUUUUGCUUAGGCGGGCAGCUUCCCGGAAACGAAAGUUUUUCGGUUCCGGGGGGAGUAUGGUUGCAAAGCUGAAACUUAAAGAAAUUGACGGAAGGGCACCACCAGGAGUGGAGCCUGCGGCUUAAUUUGACUCAACACGGGAAAUCUCACCUGGCCCAGACACCGUAAGGAUUGACAGAUUGAUAGCUCUUUCAUGAUUUGGUGAUUGGUGGUGCAUGGUCGUUCUUAGUUGGUGGAGUGAUUUGUCUGGUUUAUUCCGAUAACGAGCGAGACUCUAGCCUACUAAAUAGUUAUGUGAUAUAUUUUCUGAAUAUCACAAAAUUAUACUUCUUAGAGGGACAAGCAGCGUUUAGCUGCACGAAAAAGAGCAAUAACAGGUCUGUGAUGCCCUUCGAUGUUCAGGGCUGCACGCGCGCUACAUUGGAAGAUGCAGCGUGCUUUAACCAUUCUCGAAAGGGAUUGGUAACCAAUUGAACAUCUUCCGUAAUCGGGAUCGGGAAUUGCAAUUAUUUCCCUUGAACGAGGAAUUCCUAGUAAGUGUGUGUCAUUAGCUCACAUUGAUUACGUCCCUGCCCUUUGUACACACCGCCCGUCGCUGCCCGGAACUGAGCCGUUUCGAGRAAUGCGGGGACUGUCAUUUCCAAUCGGCGUUAUCACCAAAAAUUGCAAGGAAGAAAAUGCUCUURUUUUUUUUUCUUGUGAUUGGUAAUGUUGAAAAGAUUAAUUGAUAGAAACUGCAUUAAUCGCGAUGGCUUGAACCGGGCAAAAGUCGUAACAAGGUUUUC
rnacentral:rRNA from 1 species